GAUGAACGCUGGCGGCGUGCUUAACACAUGCAAGUCGAACGAAGCACUUUAUUAUGAUUUCUUCGGAAUGACGAUUUAGUGACUGAGUGGCGGACGGGUGAGUAACGCGUGGGUAACCUGCCUUAUACAGGGGGAUAACAGUUAGAAAUGACUGCUAAUACCGCAUAAGCGCACAGGAUUGCAUGAUCUAGUGUGAAAAACUCCGGUGGUAUAAGAUGGACCCGCGUCUGAUUAGCUGGUUGGUGAGGUAACGGCCCACCAAGGCGACGAUCAGUAGCCGACCUGAGAGGGUGACCGGCACAUUGGGACUGAGACACGGCCCAAAACUCCUACGGGAGGCAGCAGUGGGGAAUAUUGCACAAUGGGGGAAACCCUGAUGCAGCGACGCCGCGUGAGCGAAGAAGUAUUUCGGUAUGUAAAGCUCUAU
rnacentral:rRNA from 1 species